AAUGAACGCUGGCGGCGUGCCUAAUACAUGCAAGUCGAGCGAACAGAUGAGGAGCUUGCUCCUCUGACGUUAGCGGCGGACGGGUGAGUAACACGUGGAUAACCUACCUAUAAGACUGGGAUAACUUCGGGAAACCGGAGCUAAUACCGGAUAAUAUAUUGAACCGCAUGGUUCAAUAGUGAAAGACGGUUUUGCUGUCACUUAUAGAUGGAUCCGCGCCGCAUUAGCUAGUUGGUAAGGUAACGGCUUACCAAGGCAACGAUGCGUAGCCGACCUGAGAGGGUGAUCGGCCACACUGGAACUGAGACACGGUCCAGACUCCUACGGGAGGCAGCAGUAGGGAAUCUUCCGCAAUGGGCGAAAGCCUGACGGAGCAACGCCGCGUGAGUGAUGAAGGUCUUCGGAUCGUAAAACUCUGUUAUUAGGGAAGAACAAAUGUGUAAGUAACUAUGCACGUCUUGACGGUACCUAAUCAGAAAGCCACGGCUAACUACGUG
rnacentral:rRNA from 1 species